CAGGUUUCAGCACAAAAUUUUCUUGAUUAAAUGUGGAUUUUUUACAGAAAAAUGCUAGAAGAGUACCGGUGUUCUGGUUUAGAAUAUAUAUUUGAAGGUAAGGUUGUGUCUUAUGGACUUAUAAGGUAAGGUUGUGUUCUUAUGGACUAUAUUUUUGGUAUAUUGCAUUCAAUUUUUUUACAAACAAGCCUGUGGCGGUUUCGCGUUUCAACAGGCUGAACACACGGCGACUGUCCAGGCUGUCAACAUUUAAAAUCUUUCUAGUGCAGAUUGGAAGAGUAUUUCUUUCUUUUAAGACUGAAAUGGACCUUCAGCAACUUUUACAUGAUGCGCCAGGCGAGUUUGUCCAGAAGGAAGGCAGUCUUUCUUGAGAAAGACGGUUCAAAGACCAAGAGUCCAAGUAUUAUUCAAAAUAGCAGUUUACCCCACUGUCAAAUAAACCAGGGCGAAAUCUGCCCUGUUUUUCAUAAAAAUUAUCUUCUGUUUGUGUAAAAAUUUAUAAAAUGCAAUACAUUUAUAGUCAAAAGAGAACAACCUUUGAAACGUGAUGAAGGUUUUAUAUUUUAGAAUCUGAUAUAAGUUUUUUAUAUUAUUCAGUAGAAGAAGAAUUGGUCAUAGCUUUCUUGGUAGUGAUGGCUCGAGCUUCAAAUAAUUAAGUGAAAAACUAUUAUUUUUAUCCACUGUAGAGUAUAAAGCUAUGGUAUCUUAUGGGGCCAGCUGGAUAUGUAUUCCCUUGCAAAUUUUUCCUUUUUCUCCCACAAAGAUUUCACCUUUUUUUCCUUGUUUUCCCAACUUUAUGGUCCCUUGUUUUUUUUAUCAUUUUUUUUCUUUGAAUUCUGAUUACAAAAUAUGCAUUGUUCUCUGGUUUCCUAAAACCAGCCCUGGGAGACCCUCAGUACAGUCUCACAAUUAUUUGGUGUUAAGAAUUUUAGGACCCAAAGGCAACUGACAAUGGUUUCUUCAUAUUCCAUUUCAGAACCAUGAAAAACUAGUUUGCUAUAAAUAUUAUAAUAUGAAAUAAGUUCCUCUAUGAACAUUGCCAGGUUUUUGCGGCUAUGAAUACUCCAGUCACAACUUAGAAAACCAAUAGUAAAAUGUGUCUUAGACGUAGUACAAGCUUCACAUUUGCCAUGUGGUAAAUGCUUAUUAUUUCAUACUAUUGUUCCCAGUAAACUGCGAAAUGACCGUUUUUUAGGCGCUUUGUCAGUGACGGUUUUGUCAAUUGCAAAGGACA
rnacentral:lncRNA from 1 species